UUGGUUACGCGAUUACUACCGGUUAACAUUUCUAAGGCAACCCCACGAAACUUCGUUCCAUCUCUGCGAGAUCUGCCGUGCUUCUCCCCUUGCUCCCCGUACCGACUCCCGGUUCUUUUCUCCGGUUCCUCGGCGAUGGUCGUCUGCAAAUGCCGCAAGGCGACGAGGGUUUAUUGCUUCGUCCACCAGGUUCCGGUCUGUGGCGAGUGCAUCUGCUUCCCAGAACAUCAAUUAUGCGUGGUAAAAAACUAUGCUGAAUGGGUUGUUAAUUCUGAUUAUGACUGGCCACAACACUGUUCUUUGUGUAAUUUGGUUCUAGAAGCUGCAAGUGAAGAAACUACACGAUUGGGUUGCCUCCAUGUGAUGCACACAAAAUGCUUGAUAUCACAUGUCCAAAGUUUUCCUGCACAAACAGCACCAGCAGGAUUUGUCUGCCCCUCAUGUUCAAUUCCUAUAUGGCCUCCUUCGAGUAUUAAAGAUACAGGCUCCCGCCUCCAUGCUAAACUGAAGGAAGCAGUAGUCCAGACUGGUCUGGAGAAGAAUGUAUUUGGGAAUCAUUUUGUGACAAUGCCUAAAGCUGAUGCCUGCACACCCCCUACAUUUGCUUCAGACCCCCUUAAGCGUCUAUCAUAUUCUGGUGAAUCUACUGAUGCAAACAUGCUUAACUCUUCGAAAGAUGCAACUUUAUCAUCAGCAGUACUCUCCCAGGGGGAUACAUAUCCUGCUGGGAUGUACUCUUCUGGGACUCUUAGCCAUGUGGAACCAGAAAUAGUUGAAAUAGAUGGUCCUAGUACCAUAGCAACAAAGUUCCCAGAGCAGGAGCCCAAUUUCAUCAGAAGUCCAAGCCCGCACGGGCCUAGUGCCACGACAAGAAAAGGUGCUAACUAUGUUGAGAGACAAAAUUCAGAGAUGUCUUAUUAUGCUGAUGAUGAAGAUGCAAACCGCAAAAAGUACACUAAAAGGGUUUACAGGUACAUACCGUCACAAAUUUUUAAGGAUGCUGCUACCUUUUUGGUCUAGUGCCCUGCCAACAUUACCAGUUACAGCACCCCCUAAAAAGGAAAAUGAUGCUCCAGAAGGCCGGUCACGACAUCAGAGGACGUCACGAAUCGAUCCCACAAAGAUCUUACUUGCAAUGGCAAUCAUGGCAUGUAUAGCAACGAUGGGAAUUCUCUACUACCGGUUGUCGCAGCGCAGUCUUUCUGAAAACUUUGCCCAUGAUGAGGCUCAGUAGUAGAGUUGAAACUUCCAACUUGCAGUUUGUUUCUGGUACUGCCUUGCUGCUGAUUCAAGGGUUUUACCCUGCCUGUAUUAUUUUCCAUUUCCCCCUUUUUGGGCCUUUCAGGGUGGUUGUGGAUGGGAAGGUGGAGGUAGUGAUUAUAGUUACAUAAGAGUUAUAGCAGACUGGUUUUAUAUGCUGAUUCAUCUGUUAUCUUAUACCAGACGGGAAAUUGUUGAAGUUGUCAACUAUUUUCUUAUUCCUGUUGUCGCGCCUUCUGAACUGCUACAGGUGUUACUUUGAUCGAGCCAUUCUAAAACAUCGCUGUGUUAUUUCUCCAGUA